GCGGGGUUAGCUCAGUUGGUUAGAGCGUGGUGCUAAUGACGCCAAGGUCACAGGUUUGAUCCCUGCUCACUGCA
rnacentral:tRNA from 1 species